rnacentral:misc_RNA from 1 species
AAAGUCGUAACAAGGUUUCCGUAGGUGAACCUGCGGAAGGAUCAUUACAAGAAACGAGGCUGCGUGCGCUCAUCCGCCCAGCCCCGCUCCUUACCUUGCCUACUGCACCGUUUGUUGCUUCCUGGCGGCAGACUGCCUUCCGCCAGGGACAUUGACAUAACCUUGUAUGAGCAUUGAAGACCUGAAAUACGCGAAAUCGUACAACUUUCAACAAUGGAUCUCUUGGUUCUG